rnacentral:rRNA from 1 species
UACGUAGGGGCGCAAGCGUUGUCCGGAAUUAUUGGGCGUAAAGAGCUCGUAGGCGGCCUGUUGCGUCCGCGUGUAGAAAUCCCGGGGCUUAACCCCGGGCUUGCAGUGGAUACGGGCAGGCUGGAGGCAGGCAGGGGAGAACGGAAUUCCCGGUGUAGCGGUGAAAUGCGCAGAUAUCGGGAAGAACACCCGUGGCGGAAGGCGGCACUCUGGGACGGUACUGACGCUGAGACGCGAAAGCGUGGGGAGCAAACAGG